rnacentral:lncRNA from 1 species
GUUUUGAGUAUAUAAAGUAACCAAUAAACAAGCGCAAUUGUUUUAAGAAGCCAAUAAAGUUUCGCUAAAUCGUUUACACGCAUUUAAACUUAGCAAAUCUUUUUUGUAUUUAUAUUUCUUGUUUGUAUUUUAAAGUUAGUUUUAAGGUUAAAUUUAUUAAAAAGUAGGUUCAAAAAUAAAACUGCAGUUUAAAGAAAUCUUUUAAUAUCAAAGGUAAAUACUUAUGGUUAUUAUAUCUAGAGUAAUGUUUUAAACUGUUUAUAUUACAUAACUUUUGAUUUGCAAUUUCUGAAGUAGAUUAAAAUAUAAAACGGAACUAAUGGUUUUACUCAAUUCCUGAGUUUCCUGAAUUCAUGGCCCCCAAAUCUUUUCAAAAGAGUUUUAUUUCUUUAUUUUUAUCAAAGCAGGUUUUUAAUAGUAAGUUUUAAUAUUUUAGGUUUUUUUGAUGCAUAGGCCCCCACUAAAAACUCACGCUGUUGCCCAUUACUCUAAGUGUAAUACUUUAAUACAGUUUACAUAUAUAAUUAAUUUACAAAAAUGCCGAAAGUAAAGGUUGCAAUUACACGGAUGAAAAGUGAAAAAAAAUAUUGUGGUGGCCCAUGUGAACUAUCAACGACAGAUCCAAGCACUUUUAGACAGGUUAUUCAGUAUUAUUACUAUCUUAUUCAUAUAAAUCCAAAUGCAGAUAUCUUGUUAGUGACUCAGCAAAUUAGCAAUAAUAUAAAAUCAAUUUGGGCUACAGUAAACCCAAGAUUACCUCUUAAAACUGACAAAUCUAUUAAUAGGAAAGUUAAAGAUCUUCUCGUACUUGUUAAGGAUAUUAAUCGCAAGCACGGAAAAGCAAGCGCUAAAAGAAAUCUUGAUGCAAACUUGGACAAACUUUUUGAUAUUUCUGCGUGUUCCUGUUCAUUAGAUGUGUUUCCCUGUAGUGACAGAAAAGUUUCAUGUAAUAAAUAAAAUUGCAUCGAAGAACAUAUUGUAUGCCUUUGUUCUCAAAGUAAUAAAGUGCCUCUGGAAGACAGAGCUUAUCUUCGUGAUCAGAGGAAAAAAAUUGGUCCAAAAGGUGCAUAUCAACUUUCUUCCGUCGAUAGAUUAUCUGUCAAAAGGAUUCAAAGACUUGAUAAAGAACGACAAAAAAUAUCUCAUAAGCUAGUUAAUGAAGAUGAAUCUCUCAUAGCACAAGUAAACUUAAUUGAAGAAACAAGUGGUUUGACCAAUACGGAGGAUGAAGGUGAAUGGAAACCAGUAAAUAAUCCUAUUGGAAAAUACAACUUAGUUAAACUUCCAAGAUUUGCAAUGGAAUUAGUCAGAAAUGAGUGUUCGUCAAACGUAGGUGCAGCCCUUGCAAAUGCUUUACUACAUGACAUAAAACAUCUCUUGAAAAAUGACGUUGAUAUUAAAGAUAUUUUGAUUGAUAAAUGCAAGUUAGAUAGGGCCAAGUCAAAAGUAAAAAUCGUUAGUGAAGAGGUGGACUCAGAACAAAAAAAAACAGUUAAUUUGUCUUGGGGUUGACAGCAAGCUCGAUCAAAUAACUAAAACAAGUAUAGUAAUAAACUUACCUCAAGGAGAAGUACUAAAGAAAUGCAUUGAACUUGAACAUCACCUCACAUUUACUUAUGUAGAUGGAAAAUCGAGUGGAAAUUAUUUGACUCAUAGGACGAUUCCUGUCACCGGUGCUACAGGUUUAGUUCUUGCUACCGAAACGUUUAGUGUUUUACAAGAACAUAACAGUUUGGAAAGUAUACAAGCUGUUCUUCUUGAUAAUACUGCUGCCAAUACUGGACCAAUAAGUGGCUUAGUGGUAAAACUAGAAGAGUUUUUAAAAAGAAAACUACAUCUAAUUGAAUGCGCAUUACAUCAAAAUAAACUUCCGUUACGAGCUCUUUUUGUAAAACUUGAUGGUGACACAACUGGGCCAAGAAGCUUUAGUGGUUUACUUGGCAAAAGAUGUGCUGAAAAUAUUCAGGAUAAAAAUCAAGUUUUGUUUAAUCGUAUUGAAAACCCAAUUGUAGAUGGAUAUAUUCCAAAAGAAAUACUAGUAGACCUUAGUUGCGAUCAAAGACUUUUAUUUGAAUAUUGCAAAGGAAUAGGCUUUUGGUAAAGUUUCUGAUAAAUGGGCCGCCUAUAAAAUUGGACCGCUUAACCACGCAAGGUGGUUACACGCAAGGUAACUAUAGCUAUUCGCCUUCUCUGUUUGUAUACUAGAGACAAUCAAUCAACUGUUUCUUUAAAAAAACUCGUAUGUUUUAUAGUUCAGGUUUACGCUCCAGCGUGGUUCGAUAUAAAAAAAUCUUCAAAAUUUCACGAAUCCCCGCGCUUUAUUUUUUCUACUAUCACUAGAAUAAAUAAUCUCCCCUUUGAUGAUGUUAAAUAUAUUGUUAAAAAAAAACAUUAAAAACAAUGCAUUGUGCCUAAAACCUGAAAAUAUUCUUUAUGCCAUGUUAAAAGAUAAUGACAGCAAGAUACGAAACUUAGGUUUUCAAAUCCUACUGGGUCUAAGGCAAAGAGUAAACAUCGAAAGUUUGGAAGUAAAUUUGAAAAAAAUUCCAGAAAUUAAUUCUAAUGCUAAUCAUUGGUAUGAGUUGGUUGAUAUCAGCAUUACUAAAUUUACGGAGCCCCCAACAACACAACAUUUUUCAAUUGAGCAAAUCCAAUAUGCGAUUGACAAUAAUGUUAAACCUGAAAUCCCCGACUUUCCAUCUCACUCCCAGAGUGUUGAGCGAGCGGUAAAACUUGUGUCGGACGCAUCCCAAUAUGUUUAUGGAUUCGAGAAUCGACACAGCUGCAUUUUAACUAAACUACUUAGCAGGAAGAUGCGUAAACCGUAUAUUUCAAAAGGGCAUUAUUCCCAUUCUUAUGAUGAUAUUUUUUAAUUGAAAAUGUUUUCCUAAAAU